rnacentral:lncRNA from 1 species
NNNNNNNNNNNNNNGGGUUAGGGUAUAAAUGCAGAUUAGGGUGUGCACCCAGGUUGUGGUGUGCACCCAGGUUAGCGGGACAAGGGGGUCCCGGCUGCUUCGCACCGCGGUGGGGAGAGGGCUCAAUCCCCGCGUUUCGCCACGGCCGUGCUUGGCACCGGGCCACCGCCGGGUGCAGGAGACGGGCCCAGGGCAGGCGGGGGGGCGACGUGGGGCAGGAGGAGGUGCYGAAGCUGCCGGCAUCCCCGCGUGGCCCUGGGGGGCCGGGGAGCCGAGCCUGCACGUGCCGGGGAGCUGCCGGCAGCUGCUCGCCGCUCCGGUGCGGCGGGCCCGGUUCAUCCCAGGUCCCAGCGUUUCUAAUCUCGUUUGGAAGGAUUUAUUUUUGGGUCCUCGUAACCUAGCAAUGGGGCACGUGACGCGCGGGGCCUGCGGCAUGAAUAUGCAUCGGCCGCCUCACCGGCCGGCCGUCUCGCAGCCCCUCCGUGCCACCGGCCACCGGGACCCGCUCGGCCAGGGCUCGAGCCUGGGCACCCGCAGAGCCAGGCCUGGCACCCAGGGCACUGCCAGGAGGAAGUUUGCAGCCUGUGCAGGCUUCGGGGGGCGUGGGGGGGCCCUGGGAAGCGAUGGAAACCCACUUGCAAGGAAACAGUUGGGGAAACUGAGGCACGGCGCAUGGCAGGGAUGCUCUGCCCCGAUCCCGGUUGCUCCGUUGCUGCGCUGGGAGCAGAGGGAAGGGGCGCCGGGCCAGGUCCCGGCGGAGCUGGGUGCCCCGUUUGCCUCGUGCAGCCCCCCGCACCCAGCUCCGUGCCCCGCGUGCUCCGUCGCCGCCAGCACCCGGGUGCUUCCCUCGCCUGUCACCGUCCUCCCACCCCGGCCCCCCCGCGCUGCCCCCGGCGGGUUCCCUCUCCCAGUUCCCCCAGUCCCAGCACCCGCUCACGGGGCGUCAGCACCCACCCUGCUCCCCACGAGCAAGGGCACGGACUGGGGAAACCGAGGCCUGACACCAGGGUGAAGGCCGCCUGCCGGCGAGGAAGGAGGGGGGGGGCCCAGGAGUCCUGGCCACCCCAGAUGUCCCAACGCUGGGGGGGGCGAAGCGAGGUGCCACCGCGGCGGUGACAUCGCCGGGCUCCAUCUCCCUGGCCGGCGCCCGCCGCC